GUCUCAGUAACAGUGUUUUUGUGUCCUAGCGACCACCUGUGGAGAGAGAGAGAACGAAAGUGAAUCAUUGAGGAGCAGACUGUGAACGUGAUACCUACCCAGAAAGCUGUAAACAGCAGAGCCGGUGAGAAAUACUCGAAGCCUCAGUAACAGUGUCUUUGUGUCCUAGCGGCCACCUGUGGAGAGAGAGCAGAACGAAAGUGAAACAUUGAAGAGCAGACUGUGAACGUGAUACCUACCCAGAAAGCUGUAAACAGCAGAGCCGUGGCCUCCUGUGGAGAGAACGGAAAACGAGAAGGAACAUGAGGAAAAUGGACUGUGUGAAGAUACAGUGGUGGUGGAGGAGAGCCUAGAGUGGCCAUUGUUUUAAGUCCCCCGUUCCCCUUCCUUAUUUAAUGCUUUUAAGUAAUUUAAUAAAGGAUAUUUUAAUUUUAUGCUUACCUUGUGUGUCUGGUCAUUGGGGUGGCUUUGGGAAUCUCCUCGAGGUGGAGAAAGGGGCGUGACCUUAUUUACAUCUGGGUCCACCCCUACCUGUGACAGAUUUGGCGUAGUCGGCAGUCCACCUCGGGUUGAGACCAAAGUCCCCCAAUGGCCUACCACAUUUCUUUUAAAGAACAGCUCCCAUCAACACUCCAUCAGUCCCCAAACAACGCGUUCUCGGGACGAGAACGGAUUGGCGGGGGAGGAUGUCACAAGGUGACGAUCUUUUGGGUGGAACCAAAAGUCGGGAAACUUUGGUUCCGCCCGGAUGUUUCCGUCCAGACCGAAGAACGGAAACACCGGACAUCCGGCAGAUUUGCGGAGGCUGUAAUCAGCCGAUUGGGCACAGCUGUGCCUAGUUAAAAGAGAUCGCCAGGCAAUUGGAUAACUGAAGCACAGAAAGGAGUAUUUAAAGCACAGUUAAAUGACAGUUCAGCAGUUCGGGCACGAGAGGGGGAUUGACACGGGGAGAGCUCCUCUGCUUAGGGCAGGAGAGGUAAAUACGUACCUUUUGAAGAGCCCGCAGGCUCUGUUGAUCCGGGCUGCGCUAGAAGCGCGCGGAAAGAAGACAGGAGCUGCCUGGGGUGAAAGAAAGGCGAUACGUGAGUGGAGAAAAGGAGCACCCCGAAGAGAGCAUUGUGCUGUCAAGCCUGUGCUUAGUGUGUGCUGGGAAACGGAGCUGUGCUCAUUUUUGGACGUGGUGGCUGUCUGUGUUUUUCUCUCUCUCUCUCGUUUCAGUCUGUAUUGUGGACCUGCUGGAGUCAAUAGAAAAGCCCUAUGGGUAAGAAGGAACUUUGUUCUAACCAACAUUGAAGGAGUAAAGCAGGAAGAGAUAUUGACCGUUGGUACAACGUAAAUAAAGGCUAUCCGCCGUGAGUAUACCCUUUCUGUGUGGAAUAACUGGCAAAAAUUAACUUGUGUAGCCAUUGGAAACCUCCAGGAAAAGGAGGGCGGCCCUACCCCUACAAGAGUGUGGUGGGCGAGCCGUUAGAAGUACACAUUCAAACCGCCGCCGCAACGAGACUUAUUGUGGUCGUAUUUCACAUCGCCUUAUCAUAGCCCAAGCGCAGUGGAGGACACCGGGCGCUUCCCCUGUUGUGGUGCACUUAUAGUGUGGUGAGUGAGAUUGUGUAAUAAAUCUUUUUCACGUUUGGAGUGGUGCUGUGUAUUGCUGUGGGUUGCUGUGUGUCUUGUAGACGAAGCCCCGCAUCAUCCAUUUUCUUCCACUGGGCAGAGGACGGAGAGGCCAACGACUACAGAAAUCACUGUUAUUAUACGUAGUGUGCUGUUUGGAGUACGAAGGGACACAGACUGAGAGCUGUCCGUGACCGUGAGUAAACCAUUGGAAACUUUCGUGGUGUAUACUUACCUGUGUCUGUUUUGUCGCAGAGUCAGAGGCGAAAGGGUCCGCCGCCCCGUGGUCUCUACGAAAAGGGCGCCCCCGUCUAGGAAUCGAUCGGCCUAUGGGCAUUGGAGAUAGGGCAGCGCUCGACCCGGUGAAGUGGUGUGGGACCUUUUUCGCCCCUCUGCUGACCUACGGAGGAGAACCAUAACUACCCAGAAAGCUGUAAACAGCAGAGCCGCGGCCACCUGUGGAGAGAGAGCAGAACGAAAGUGAAACAUUGAAGAGCAGACUGUGAACGUGAUACCUACCCAGAAAGCUGUAAACAGCAGAGCCGUGGCCUCCUGUGGAGAGAACGGAAAACGAGAAGGAACAUGAGGAAAAUGGACUGUGUGAAGAUACAGUGGUGGUGGAGGAGAGCCUAGAGUGGCCAUUGUUUUAAGUCCCCCGUUCCCCUUCCUUAUUUAAUGCUUUUAAGUAAUUUAAUAAAGGAUAUUUUAAUUUUA